rnacentral:rRNA from 1 species
AGCGCAGGCGGUUUUUUAAGUCUGAUGUGAAAGCCCUUGGCUCAACCAAGGAAGUGCAUCGGAAACUGGAGAACUUGAGUGCAGAAGAGGACAGUGGAACUCCAUGUGUAGCGGUGAAAUGCGUAGAUAUAUGGAAGAACACCAGUGGCAAAGGCGGCUGUCUGGUCUGUAACUGACGCUGAGGCUCGAAAGCAUGGGUAGCGAACA